UACGUAGGGGGCGAGCGUUGUCCGGAUUUAUUGGGCGUAAAGAGCUCGUAGGCGGUUUGGCAAGUCGGGUGUGAAAACUCCGGGCUCAACUCGGAGACGCCACUCGAUACUGCUAUGACUCGAGUCCGGUAGGGGAGUGCGGAAUUCCUGGUGUAGCGGUGAAAUGCGCAGAUAUCAGGAGGAACACCAGUGGCGAAGGCGGCUUGCCAGAAUGCGCUCGACGGUGAGGGAUGAAAGCUGGGGGAGCAAACCGG
rnacentral:rRNA from 1 species